rnacentral:rRNA from 1 species
GACGUAGGGUGCAAGCGUUGUCCGGAUUUAUUGGGCGUAAAGAGCUCGUAGGCGGUUCGUUGCGUCAGCUGUGAAAACCCACGGCUUAACCGUGGGCCUGCAGCUGAUACGGGCGGACUAGAGUUCGGUAGGGGAGACUGGAAUUCCUGGUGGUAGCGGUGAAAUGCGCAGAUAUCAGGAGGAACACCGGUGGCGAAGGCGGGUCUCUGGGCCGACACUGACACUGAGAGACGAAAGCUAGGGGAGCGAAUGGG